UACGUAGGGGGCAAGCGUUGUCCGGAAUCAUUGGGCGUAAAGAGCGUGUAGGCGGUCAGAAAAGUCCGCUGUGAAAACUCGAGGCUCAACUUCGAGCUGUCGGUGGAAACUUUCUGGCUAGAGUCCGGAAGAGGCGAGUGGAAUUCCUGGUGUAGCGGUGGAAUGCGCAGAUAUCAGGAGGAACACCAAUAGCGAAGGCAGCUCGCUGGGACGUUACUGACACUGAGGCGCGAAAGCGUGGGGAGCGAACAGG
rnacentral:rRNA from 1 species